rnacentral:lncRNA from 1 species
GUUGAAACGGCUUUAUUUUUUUUUAAUCCAUAAAUAUCUGUUACUGACAAAAGUGGAAAAAAUCCUUAAGACUAAAUCUUACUAAAGUGAUACCUGUUUACAGUACAUAUAGAAUGUGCUUUGACAAGUAAGUGGAAUGAUGAGAUCUGUACAGAAACAGCAGGUGCAAGAGCACUGCUCAUCAUGAAGCUUCCUUACGAGGAACAGAGAAACUGUGCAAAGGUACAGAUAGAAAGGUACUUUUCGUCAGUACUACCAUAUAAUAAACACGGAAUCCAUAAAUUGGGCUAAUGCAUAUAAAUGUUCAUUAAUCCCCCCCUUAGGAAAUUGUGUCCCCAAACUAAAAAUAUUACAGUAAGAAUUGCUUUUUAUUCGAGAAUUUCAAGAAUUCUUUACUACAAAAUGUCUAGUUGAGUUACAGAACUAGAGGAAUAUUUGCCACUACGAAGCCAAUGAAUGAGUCCUCCCAUGGAGUGGCAUUGCAGGGGGUACAGCAGGAGUGGGCAGCAAAGGGGAGCAUGGGGUCUUCCUCUCCCUCAGGAGGGAGAGUUUUAAGGAAACAUACAACGUCGUUUCUCUUCCUGAUGGGAAGUUUGAUGUGUUUGCUGAUUUACAAGACGGGUUUGAUGAUGCAGACUUGUCCUCUUAGUUCUCAAGCUUUCACCAGGAGGACGGUAGUGUCAUGAGGAGGGACUAGAAAACUCCUAGCCUGGGGUGAGCGUCCACCUCCUAGCAGCCCAGGGGUUGACGCCUCCCCCUCCUCCAGUUGGGAUGGAGCCUGGUGUCCAGACUCGGUCUUCAGGACACAGGUUCUGGAGUGAGAUAGAGUAACAUCCAUUUGAACACAGAGCUUUUGCCAUGUAUUCUCCUCUGUGGCUUGACAUGCAUUUCCAAGCUGUCCUCAAAUACAGACUUUACACUCCUAUGGGCCAUGCUCUGGACCCUUCUCCUCCAGCCUGUCCUCUCUCUGAAAUCAGAACCGCCUCCCUCCAGCUUCAAGGACCACAUUAAAAUGAACACUUCCAACUCAGAAUUCCCUAAUGACACAGACACCCAGGAUGAAUUAGACGUGUCUCUGUGAGAGGGCUUUCAUGAAGAACUCUGUUGGUAACCUACUGAAUGGGUAGGCCCUUCCACCUGCAGAUAUGAGGGCAUCCUGGGUGGCUGAGACCAUGGAUCCCACCUCAGGCUCUAGUGAGGAGUCUGGUGACUGCCUAGAGCAUCUGAGGAUGCCACCAUGGGGCAGGCAUAAUGAGGUUUGUGCAGCUCAGUUGCGGUGGGGAGAAAUGUGAAGAAAAGAAGGGGGUGCCAAUGUGGAAUGAAGGCCCUAGAAUAUAAGAGCUGGAUGAAGCAUCAGCGCUCAUCUAGUCAAAGCCCCUCGUUUUACGGAUGAGAAACUGAGGCACUGAGAGAGAUCGUGACUCAUCCUUGGUCACACGGCAAGAUGGAGACAAAGCCAGGGCCAAAGCCAUGUCUCCAAGAGCCUCAGCCCUGUGCUUUUUCCUCCUGUAAUAUGCUGCCUUCUGAAAUUAAAUAUAGAGCCCAGGAAGACAUAUCUUUCAUAUUGAAUCUGUCAUUAAAAUGCUGCAUUUAUAAAAAAUAACAUUUGAACCCUGAAAAAUACUUCAUUAAAACCCGACAAGCUUCCUUGAAAAUACUCCAGAGCAAAAUUUCCCAGUUUUGGGGAGGAUGGUGGAGGAAUGUCUGUGGGAGGUAACAUGUCAACCCUUCUCAGAGCAGGUGCUGCUAGGGUCCAGGUCAUCAGAAGCCCCUUCAGAUGACCUUGAGUCAAAUCCACGGUUGCCUGUGGAUGGAAUCUGAGGAUGAAAGGCUGGUGGCAAAGUAUCUGGGAAGAAAAAUGGAUUGUUUGGUGGCAGGGCGAUUAGAAUGGAUAUUUCUCCAUGCUUGGAGAGUCAUGAUGCUCUCCCAUCUUUUGACACAAAGGGGAAAUCUGUGACACACACAAGCAGGACAGGCGUAAGCAAGGUGGCACAGUGGCCGAGAGCCAUCAAGGAUAUGAAUCUUUGGCCAGAGCAGGAGCCUUUGGGCUCAUGGCAGGUUGGGCAGGAGCUUCAGGGGACUUGCCAGCUGCAGGAACCAAAGCUGACCUUCCAACCAUGACAUCUCUGACAGGCCAGCUUCUCUCCCUACCCUCCCAAAGAUCAGAGGGGUAGAGCUUUUGGCUGCAUGGCCCAGGCAUCAUCUUAUAGGGACAGGAGGUCAAGGAUAAACUAAGGAGGCAAGCAGAAGUCUUGAAGAAUGUCUCCUUCUUUGCUUGUUUUCACUGAGGACUCUAAGUUUUAGAAUUAUGGACUAUAGCAGGAUAGAGAAAAACAAAUUAGAGAUGGAAGGUGUACGUGGAGGAAGAGGACAGGGCCAGGGAGAUGAGAGGAAGGAAAGACUGAACCGGCAUAGAAGAUUAAGGUUAAAACAAGAGUUUCUGGGUGUGAGAGUGGAAAGAGAGGAGAAGUUAGGAUUAAGGGAAACUCUGGAACUUUCUAGAAGGCAGACCCAUCAUCCAAGAUGCUGGGAAGCCCCAAGGGUAGAACCCCAGCUAGGGGGGAUAAAGGAAUUCCUGGGAAAGCCUUUGUGACUUAUGAACUUAUGAAGCCAAGAGUUAACUGGAAGAAGUAAGACAGGGAAGGUGGAGGGGCAUGAGAGAUCGGGAGGUCUUCACUGCCAUCAGAGGAGGAGACCCGUGAGGAGACCCAUGAGAUUCUUCAGGGGAGGAGAGGGCCUGUGUAGAGCCCCAUCCAUUCUCAUCAGAGCAGUGGAGACACACAGAAAGAGCGAAACAAGCAGAGGGAAAUUCAGGGCCCUGGGCUGCCCUUGCCGGGAAAGGAGGGCUUUCGUUGUGAGGAUGGGGUGGCCCCUCUAUGUGUGCUAGUGGCCACCAGCCUGAUGGGGCUGGGAGUCAUGAUAUCUGGAUUCCCGCCCAGAACCUUCUCUUCUCCACUGUGUGAACUUGUCUGGUCAUGUGGCUUUGCUUGUUCUCUGAGCGUGGGCGGGACAACUGAACAAAUGAGAUAUUUCUGUAUCCCUAUUGAGACAUAAUUUUAUGGGUUUUGAAAUGAAGAACUGCAUUAGAGCAUGUUUGUAGACUUCAUUUUUUUUCCUUCCUUGCUUCCUUCCUUCCUUCCUUGCUUGCUUCCUUCCUUCCUUCCUUCCUUGCUUCCUUCCUUCCGUCCUUCUUCCUUCCUUCCCCAAGUGUGAAGCAGAAGAAUCAUUUAAACAAAGUAAGCAUUUAAGCGUUGGGUAGAAUUUUCUGAUCUGACUGACACCAGAGGUUUUAAACUGGACGACAAUAAGGCUGAGAUGGGAAACACUUUGGAAUCAACCUAUCAGACAGCCCCUGAGACAGACAGACCGACAGACAGACAGACAGGGCAGUAGAGAAGCAUCAUCCUGACGCCUGGAGAACUUGGUGCCAAGAAGAUGCUUCAGACCUCAGGGUGAGAUCGGGUUUGUGGUUCACGGUGUAUGUGUGUGCAGACACCUGGGGAGGGGAUUGUCACCCUUUCCCCUCCGUACCAACAGGCAGCCUUCGAGGAGAGGCUGGAUUGGAGGGCAUAGGGUUUGGGGGGGACCAGCUGUGAGAGACACACCUUGUUUCCGGGAGUGGCCAACUGCUCCGUGUAGAUUGGUUUCCAAACUCUCAUAAACCCUUGGGGACCAGCCCUUGAGAAGGUUUAUGUGUUUGUAGAGGAGGAAAGCAGAGUGAUCCCUGUCCUCACAGCCUCCCGGUUCCAGUGCUAUCCCAGGGCAGAAGCUGAGAUCUGUGUCUGUCACCCCCAGCUUAAUCCCCUCGUGAUGAGCCUUGAGGGGGAGACAAGAGCUUUGGAAUUCUUGAAAUAAGUUAGAGGACUCAGUCGAUUGAGUUUUCUGUGGAUUGUAGACUUGGUGAGAUUAAAAAUUCCCAGGGCUGACACUGGGGCGUUCCCCCUGCCUGACCUCCUUUUUAAAGGACCAUACAUGCCGUAUGCAGAACCAGGGGAACCUAAAAUCCCAGGUUACGGUCAUUGCUUGGAGUCUGAGUGUGGUGACAGUCACUUUUUUUUUUUUUUUUGUAUCAUACCUUUUACCCAACAGUCUGGGGCUGAUUCCCCUAGCCCCAG